GGUUCAAUUCUGGUCAAGGGCAUGUACCUUGGUUUGGGGGCCGGAUGUAAGCUGACAAGGUCCUUGCAUCUGAGGGGGCUAGCAAGGCUGGUCCCCUACCCAAACAGUUUUCCCUGACUUGUUUGGAUGGCGAUUAUCAGUAGAAUGAAAGUAAUUUAUGUAGUAGGAGAGCAACGUUUCAUGUCUUGCCAAGAAGUCUGUAUUUACCUACUGAAGAUUUAUUGUACUAAGAAUUUGUCCUUUGGCUCUAUCUCUCCUUUAGAGAUUAAGAGGAACAAAGAAAUACACUCCUCUGGACAGACCUCCUAAUUAGUGUCUUGUGUAUAAAAAGCAUUGCCCAAUUAAUAAACUUGCUACAGUUCCUCGAGGACUUGUCGUCCUCCCG